rnacentral:rRNA from 1 species
GUCGAGGGGUAUAGUUCUUCGGAGCUAGAGACCGGCGCACGGGUGCGUAACGCGUAUGCAACCUACCUUUCACAGGGGGAUAGCCCAGAGAAAUUUGGAUUAAUACCCCAUGGUAUAUUAGUAUGGCAUCAUAUUAUUAUUAAAGUUCCAACGGUGAAAGAUGGGCAUGCGUCCCAUUAGCUAGAUGGUAAGGUAACGGCUUACCAUGGCGACGAUGGGUAGGGGUCCUGAGAGGGAGAUCCCCCACACUGGUACUGAGACACGGACCAGACUCCUACGGGAGGCAGCAGUGAGGAAUAUUGGUCAAUGGGCGCAAGCCUGAACCAGCCAUGCCGCGUGCAGGAUGAAGCAUCUAUGGUGUGUAAACUGCUUUUAUACAGGAAGAAACCCUGCCACGUGUGGCAGAUUGACGGUACCGUAAGAAUAAGGACCGGCUAACUCCGUGCCAGCAGCCGCGGUAAUACGGAGGGUCCAAGCGUUAUCCGGAAUCAUUGGGUUUAAAGGGUCCGUAGGCGGUCAGGUAAGUCAGUGGUGAAAGCCCAUCGCUCAACGGUGGAACGGCCAUUGAUACUGCCUGACUUGAAUUACUGGGAAGUAACUAGAAUAUGUAGUGUAGCGGUGAAUGCUUAGAUAUUACAUGGAAUACCAAUUGCGAAGGCAGGUUA